rnacentral:rRNA from 1 species
GAUGAACGCUAGCUACAGGCUUAACACAUGCAGGUCGCGGGGCAGCAUGGGGGUUGCUUGCAAUCCCCGAUGGCGACCGGCGCACGGGUGAGUAACGCGUAUCCAACCUGCCCUUCACCACGGGAUAACCCGGCGAAAGUCGGACUAAUACCGUAUGUUGUCCAUUGACGGCAUCCGAUUUGUACGAAAGGUUUGGCGGUGAAGGAUGGGGAUGCGUCCGAUUAGCUGGACGGCGGGGUGACGGCCCACCGUGGCGACGAUCGGUAGGGGUUCUGAGAGGAAGGUCCCCCACACUGGAACUGAGACACGGUCCAGACUCCUACGGGAGGCAGCAGUGAGGAAGAUUGGGCAAUGGGCGUAAGCCUGAACCAGCCAAGUAGCGUGCAGGAUGACGGCCCUAUGGGUUGUAAACUGCUUUUAUGCGGGGAUAAAGUGGCCCACGUGUGGGUUUUUGCAGGUACCGAAUGAAUAAGGACCGGCUAAUUCCGUG